UGCCAUGAGUGCUGACCUUCCCUUAUAAACUUCGACCUUCGCACCGCUUCCAUUCUUUCUCCCUCCCAAUUUCACUUGCAGGUCAAACGCAGCGUUUUGGAAGAAUGAUACGCAGCGCCUUCUCGUUUGCAGCGGCUCCACCGUGCAUGUCCAUCUUCAGCACCACCACCGGCUCCCUCGUUUCCUCGCUAGAAGGCCACACCGUCGCCGUCACUGCCGUCGUGGUGGUCCCCUCCUCCACUGGCCUAAGCUACCGCUUUCGUGGAUGAAACCAUCCGCCACUGGGACUUCUCCGUUCCCGAAUGCGUUAAGAUUAUCGACCUUUGCUUACCCAUCUUCUCUAUGGUGGUGCCUUCGAUAUUGUCUCCGCGGGAAGAAAACGAGAAGAAGACGAUGAAUGUUAUUCCUUACGUGUCUGUUCAAGAUAUAAACGCACUGGACAAUCGCCCAAAGCCUUUUUAUGGACAGAUCAGAAAGUGUAAUUUUUUCUUUCUUUUGGCACAGUGAUGCCAUUUGAGGAAGAUGAAGGGUGAUGGAGAUAGAAAGAAAAAAGGGAACAAUACAAAGUCUUUUUUACUUUUUUUUUUUUUUUUUUUUUUUAACUUUUUCUCACGUGUAAUUACAAAUGUUAUACGUGGUAUUACACGUGAGUGACAUGAAUGCUGUGUGACCAGUUAACGGGUGGCUAAUUAAUAAUUACAGACUAA